rnacentral:rRNA from 1 species
GACGAACGCUGGCGGCGUGCUUAACACAUGCAAGUCGAACGGAAAGGCCCUGCUUUUGUGGGGUGCUCGAGUGGCGAACGGGUGAGUAACACGUGAGUAACCUGCCCUUGACUUUGGGAUAACUUCAGGAAACUGGGGCUAAUACCGGAUAGGAGCUCCUGCUGCAUGGUGGGGGUUGGAAAGUUUCGGCGGUUGGGGAUGGACUCGCGGCUUAUCAGCUUGUUGGUGGGGUAGUGGCUUACCGAGGCUUUGACGGGUAGCCGGCCUGAGAGGGUGACCGGCCACAUUGGGACUGAGAUACGGCCCAGACUCCUACGGGAGGCAGCAGUGGGGAAUAUUGCACAAUGGGCGGAAGCCUGAUGCAGCAACGCCGCGUGCGGGAUGACGGCCUUCGGGUUGUAAACCGCUUUCGCCUGUGACGAAGCGUGAGUGACGGUAAUGGGUAAAGAAGCACCGGCUAACUACGUGCCAGCAGCCGCGGUGAUACGUAGGGUGCGAGCGUUGUCCGGAUUUAUUGGGCGUAAAGGGCUCGUAGGUGGUUGAUCGCGUCGGAAGUGUAAUCUUGGGGCUUAGCCCUGAGCGUGCUUUCGAUACGGGUUGACUUGAGGAAGGUAGGGGAGAAUGGAAUUCCUGGUGGAGCGGUGGAAUGCGCAGAUAUCAGGAGGAACACCAGUGGCGAAGGCGGUUCUCUGGGCCUUUCCUGACGCUGAGGAGCGAAAGCGUGGGGAGCGAACAGGCUUAGAUACCCUGGUAGUCCACGCUGUAAACGGUGGGUACUAGGUGUGGGGUCCAUUCCACGGGUUCCGUGCCGUAGCUAACGCUUUAAGUACCCCGCCUGGGGAGUACGGCCGCAAGGCUAAAACUCAAAGGAAUUGACGGGGCCCCGCACAAGCGGCGGAGCAUGCGGAUUAAUUCGAUGCAACGCGUAGAACCUUACCUGGGUUUGACAUGGAUCGGGAGCGCUCAGAGAUGGGUGUGCCUCUUUUGGGGUCGGUUCACAGGUGGUGCAUGGCUGUCGUCAGCUCGUGUCGUGAGAUGUUGGGUUAAGUCCCGCAACGAGCGCAACCCUUGUUCACUGUUGCCAGCACGUUAUGGUGGGGACUCAGUGGAGACCGCCGGGGUCAACUCGGAGGAAGGUGGGGAUGACGUCAAGUCAUCAUGCCCCUUAUGUCCAGGGCUUCACGCAUGCUACAAUGGCUGGUACAGAGAGUGGCGAGCCUGUGAGGGUGAGCGAAUCUCGGAAAGCCGGUCUCAGUUCGGAUUGGGGUCUGCAACUCGACCUCAUGAAGUCGGAGUCGCUAGUAAUCGCAGAUCAGCAACGCUGCGGUGAAUACGUUCCCGGG